rnacentral:rRNA from 1 species
AGUGAACGCUGGCGGUAGGCCUAACACAUGCAAGUCGAACGGCAGCACAGGAGAGCUUGCUCUCUGGGUGGCGAGUGGCGGACGGGUGAGGAAUACAUCGGAAUCUACUCUGUCGUGGGGGAUAACGUAGGGAAACUUACGCUACUACCGCAUACGACCUACGGGUGAAAGCAGGGGAUCUUCGGACCUUGCGCGAUUGAAUGAGCCGAUGUCGGAUUAGCUAGUUGGCGGGGUAAAGGCCCACCAAGGCGACGAACCGUAGCUGGUCUGAGAGGAUGAUCAGCCACACUGGAACUGAGACACGGUCCAGACUCCUACGGGAGGCAGCAGUGGGGAAUAUUGGACAAUGGGCGCAAGCUUGAUCCAGCCAUACCGCGUGGGUGAAGAAGGCCUUCGGGUUGUAAAGCCCUUUUGUUGGGAAAGAAAUCCAGCUGGCUAAUACCCGGUUGGGAUGACGGUACCCAAAGAAUAAGCACCGGCUAACUUCGUGCCAGCCGCCGCCGUAA